UGGGGAAUAUUGGACAAUGGGGGAAACCCUGAUCCAGCAAUGCCGCGUGUGUGAAGAAGGCCUGCGGGUUGUAAAGCACUUUCGGUGGGGAGGAGAGGCCCAGAGUUAAUACCUCUGGGAAGAGACGUUACCCACAGAAGAAGCACCGGCUAACUCUGUGCCAGCAGCCGCGGUAAUACAGAGGGUGCAAGCGUUAAUCGGAAUUACUGGGCGUAAAGGGUGCGUAGGUGGUUACGUAAGUUAGGUGUGAAAGCCCCGGGCUUAACCUGGGAAUGGCGCCUAAUACUGUGUAGCUAGAGUACUGUAGAGGAAGGUGGAAUUUCCGGUGUAGCGGUGAAAUGCGUAGAUAUCGGAAGGAACAUCAGUGGCGAAGGCGACUUUCUGGACAGAUACUGACACUGAGGCACGAAAGCAUGGGGAGCAAACAGGAUUAGAUACCCCCGUAGUCC
rnacentral:rRNA from 1 species